UACGAAGGGGGCAAGCGUUGUUCGGAAUUAUUGGGCGUAAAGGGAGCGUAGGCGGUUCGGCAAGUCUUUAGUGAAAUCUCUGGGCUCAACUCAGAGUCUGCUAUAGAAACUGCAGUGCUGGAGUGUGGCAGAGGGAGGUGGAAUUCCACGUGUAGCAGUGAAAUGCGUAGAGAUGUGGAGGAACACCGAUGGCGAAGGCAGCCUCCUGGGCCA
rnacentral:rRNA from 1 species